UCUUUCUUUGUCUCUUGUAACAGUUUUUUACUUAAAAUCUAAUUUGUCUGAUAUUAGUAUAGCCACCCCAGCUCUUUUUGGGUUACUAUUUUCAUGGAUUUACAUAAAGUUUUGAUAUUAAAAUUAAGAUUAUGCUAUCUAGGCAAGUGAUGGUGGUUCAAAAAUAAAUUUUGUCAUGUUAUUGUUUACUCAUUUAAUGGAGUUUUAAAAAAAUUCCUAGCAAGCUCUUACUUAUAAGUUAAAACAGCUUAUUUUCCUGUUUUUAUUCUGAUUUUUUUUCAAGGGUGCAUACUAUUUACUAUAGAAUUCAUUCCCAUAUAGUCUAUAUGAUCAAUUAUAGUUCUCAAAUAAGUCCUAUUAAUUGCUACCAGAUUCACAUAUAUCUAAAUAUAUAUUUACAUGUGUGUGUCUAUAUAUAUAUGUAUGUAUAUAUAUAUUUUAAUGAUACUAAAUGUAGAUAGCAAGUCAUAUUUUUAUGCUUUAUAUCCAAUAGAUUUAUCAUUUUACUUCUAAACGUCUGAAAAUGUAGAUCACACAAACUUUUUCUUGCUGAAAAUUUACUAUAGCUUUUAUCUAUCAAAUUCUUGAAAUAUAUCAGCUAUGUAUAUCCCACACAUUUCUCUCCAUGAGCAUCUUAUGGUGAUACCAUUCUAUAAAAUUAUAUUGAGGAAGUUAAUUCAGUGUCAAUAGACUAUAAUUUGCUAAUAUCAUUUUCUCUCCAAAUCUUUGAGGGAAAAAUUUAAGAUUAGACUAUUAAUGCAAGAUUGACUUAGAGAUGCAUGAAUUUGAUUAUUUUUUCCUUUUGAAAAAUUAUUUUAAAGGCUGUAGUACCUUACUUAUAGAGUUUAUUACAUUUUAAAAGUAACUGAUAUUAAUAUUUUAUAAAAAUGAUUUAUGAUGGAAAGAACUUGUGUACCUUUUGACAAUUAUAAGGAAGUUAAAGUUACAAAAUGAUUCAUGAAUGUUCCUACCUGUCUUUCCUUUCCUCCAAUAGUUGUUGCUCAUUGUUUGGUUCUUCAUGUUGUUUUUAAUUCUCUAAUAAUCCUUUAGGAUCAGUACCUAAUCUCAGCAAACAAAAAUAUCCAAGCAGUCCCUAUGAAUUAUAAUGAGGAAAAGAAGCAUUUAUCAAAAAGAGAUGAGCUGUUGGUAAGUAUUACUGACAACUUUGUGCUCAGCAAUGUGGGACUCAUAGUAAGAACAAGGAUGUAGAAAGUCAAAGAUAAAAAUACAGAAAUUGUUAUUCAGUAAACAUUUAGUAUAUAUGAGCUAUCUGAAAUAUACAAUUGUGUGCCCUAUCCAAGUAAAAAUUUGUGUUCCUAAAAAGAAAAUUGAUUUGAUGGUGCAUUAAACAAUGUAGUGGUUAAGACUCAAAAUACUCGAGUGAGACUCACCAAUCUGGCUCACUGAUGAUAUAACCUUAGACAAACUGCUUGCUUUGCUUAAACCUUGGAAUUUUUGUCCAUAGAACAGAUAAUGUCAGUAACUACCUCGUGCAGUUGUUGCAAAAGACAGUGUUUAGAACAAUAGUAAAUUUUUAACAAAAGCUUAGUUGUCUUAUUUAUAACUAAAAUCUAUUGGAAAAAUAGAGAUCUAUUUGUUAAUAUGAUUGAAUGAAUUGUUUGCUUUUAAAAACAUGGUCACCAAGUCAGAAAAAAAGUUAUAUAAAUUAAGUCGUAUGAGCAUGCAUGUUUUACAUUUGUUUGGUAAUACAAGGAAGAAUGUCUUCUUCGUAAUGCAUUCAUUUCUAAAAGAGUAUAAUUUAAUUUCAUAUUACAGUUAUUUUCAGAAAGGAGAGAAUACGAUGAAGAAUGAUGUACAGGCAGGCCCUGGGUACAGACAACCCGACUCACAGUGCUCUGUACUUAUGAACAGGCUUCCAAGGCUCUCCAUAAGGAUAAUCUAUAAUUGGAUAAUUAAAUUCAUAACUCAGCAACUAGUUUUUUCCAUGCAUGUAAACAAAUCCACAUGAUGUAAGCAGUUCAUUGGUGCAGCAUCUUUAUGCUAGUGGCUAGUCUCUGUUGAUAUGGUCACUUACAUACAGCAUCACUUUCGUCUUAACUUUUUUAUUCAAUUUUGUAGUCCAUGUUUAUCCUUAUGACUGUGCCUCUAAAGUGAAAGUCCACUGCAAGUCCAGAUGAGGCUGCAGCAAAAGGGAAGGUGAUUACAAUGGAACAAAAGUACAGAUAAUUAAGUGUUCGGAGAUAGGCCAGACAGUUGCCAUCAUUCAUUGGGAAAGUAUUAGGCUUUAGUCACUUGACUAUUGGAACAUUUAUAAGGAAUAAAGUAAGAAGAAUGGAACAUGUGAAAGGCAAUGCUCCAAUGAAAGCAUCAUUUAUUUCUGUGCAGCAUAGUGGAAUAAUUAUCGACAUGGAAAGGUUAUUAUUGACUUGGUUAGAAGAUCAAAAUAAGUGUAACAUUCCUAUUGGCCUAGUGUUGAUGCAACAUUAGGCUUCACAUUUAUAAAUGAUUAUUUGUUUAUAAUGAUUACACCUUUGUUAGAGCACAAGUUCCAAAAGGGUGAAUAAUGUACCAAGAGAUGAGUGGGAAGACUUGCUACAGGAGCAACAAAGGCCAAGAAGGUGCCAAAGUGUCUUUCCUACCACGGAAAGAGGGAAGGACAGAUGAAGAUACUUCUCUUUGCAUAUUGUACUCUGAAAGAAAACAAUAUUACUGAAAGGAAAUUUUAGUAUGAAGUUUUCAGUGAUUUGCUACAUCUUAAAGGUGAAUCAGUUUAGGUGAAUGGAAAUGAUCGAAACAUGUUUAAAAGGAUGCACACCUGACUGCAGUGUGAAAGAAGGAUGGUGCAAGAGCACAGAGACAAGAGACAGGGAGAACAUGGGCUCCUGCAGGAACCUAGAAGAGAAGAUUGUUGAGAAGACAAACUGAAAAGACUUGAUGACCAAGUAGGCAUUUAUGUUUAGGGUGGGGGUAAGAGACUUUAUUUAAAUUUUCGAAGGCUUGGGUCCUCAGAGGGAUGCUGCUGCCAUUCAUCUAGGAAAAGAAUAUAAAGAGCUGUCAUUCAUCUAAGAGAAAGAAUACAGGAGUUUUGGCUGCAGCAGAAGUGGGAAGAUAGAAGCAAGUUGGUUGGUGAAUGCUGAGUUUAAGGAGCCCCGGAGGCAACUGGGAAUGACUGGUAGGCAGUUGGGUAAAUGCACCUGGAGCUCAGGAGAAAGUCUGCUCUAUCAGAGUUUAUCAACUAAUCAAGUAAAUAUCAAAUGAUAUCAACUAAAUAACUAAUAGCGUUAUCUAACUAAAUGAUAGUUGAAGCCAUAGCCGUAUGACUUAAAACUUGCUGGGCUCUUACUGUGCGCCCAGGCACUUCCUGUGUCUGAACUCCUUCACUCCUCCUCCGACCCUGUGAAACAGGUGCUAUAAUUAGUCCCAUUUUACCCAUGAGGAAACGUUAGAGAUGUUAGGUAAGCUGACCAAGAUAUCACACACAGCCAGAAAAUGGCAAGCCCUGGCAGUGUGGUUCUGGUGUCUUUGCUUUUCAGCAUUACGCUGUGCUGCCUCUCAGAACAGAUCAUAGGCCUGACAAUGGGGCUGAGAGCAGAAUCUUAGGGACCGCGGGUAUUUAGGGAUGGGCCAGUCACUGGGGAGGAACCUGACGAGGGGUAUCCAAAGAAGUGGUGGGAAAAUUAGGAAAAUGUUGUCAUGGAAGUCAAGGGAAGAGUAUUUCAAGAGGAGUGGCGGUAAGUAGAAGGCCCCUGGUGCUGGCGGUUUUGGGGAAGCGGUAUGUGCACACCCCAGUAUGGAGGUAAGUGGAGCAAAGUGAAGGUUGACAAAGCCAGAAGCACUUGACAGCCCUGAGAGAGAUUUAAUCUCUGCUUGGUCACCAUUUUAUUGAAGCUGGAGAAAGCGGCAGGGACUUCAGGAAAGGAGAUGAGAGCUGGGUGUGCAACUGACUACAUAGGUCCUUUGCCUAUUUGUAAACAAAUCUCCUGUGAUCCUUACUAAAUAAAGGUUAUUAAAGGUCAUGCCACAGAUGGGGUUCACUUGUUUGCAUGAUUUAAAUGUAUAGGCAUAGGUAGGUAUGAAGAGGAAAGUGGAAAUCAGUCUUCAGUCCAUCUUACGAGCUACCUGCCUUGUUUACCUUGUGUAAAUCUAGACCAGAAGUAGAGUGCCAAGCCAAACCCAUAUUCUGUGUCAAUGAAUCCUCUUUCCUCUUUGUUUAACUAUUAUUUCCCUAUGUGUCUAAGUCCUUUAUUUUCCUUAUUAUGCAGCUCACUUUGUCUCUUUUUGUGUCUGAAUUCACAGCUGCUCCAAAUAGUCAAUUCACUUUUAUAUACAGCAAUACUCAAAUCCAUACAACAUACUGGCAUCGUGCUUCUUGCAUGCUGGCUUCAGUGGUACACGGCAGCUCAUGCUGACGGUGUGACCGUCUCUGAACUACGUUCCAAGUCACUUAGGAAAGUUUUCCCCUAAGAAGCACAUUUGGAUCCUGGCUUCCUAGUCCCUUGUGUGUUUGCAAAUAUUUAUUUAUUAGCAGCUUGGUUUGCCAUUGUUUCUAAGGAGUAUUAUAAAACAUUGAUAAAUUUUAGAAUGCUUGCUGUUAUUCGUCCUGAUGUCCCUUACACAGAGUUGCCGAUUGGAGAAGCAGUUGAAUUGCAAACCAAGGCCUGCAAUUGGAGAGUCUGCCCUGGUGACUUUUACUUUGCAGCUCAAAUCUGAAACCACUAUUUGUUUUCUUAUACCGGUACAUGGAGCCUUAAGGCAAUUUUGUUUUCUUUCCUAACGAGGUUACUGGGACCUCUUGUCCAACCCUGCUUUAUGUUGCUCAGGAGACCACCUGUCUCCUUAAGAUAGAACCUCCCAGAGUGAAACUCUUAUGUGACAUAGAGUCUAUAUUUUAAGUAAGGGCAUCCAAAUAUAUUGUCCAGAUUUCUAGAAAAUAUGUCCAGCUAUAUUUUUAGUUUUUUAUGUGAUGAUAUGUGUGUCUGUAUGUUUUAUUUAUAUAGGUGCAUGUUAUCAUUCUUAGGUCCAAACAGGUUUGUUACAAAUAGAAAAUCCUCACAAUUUAAUGACAGAACCAAUUCAUUAAUAGAGAAACCUUUGGUAUAAAGCUUAAGUAAUUGCAUUCAAAGUACUGGUAUUAAAUCUGAAAAGCAAUCCAAUUAGUAUUUUCUAAAACACCACCAACAGCAAAAUCCUUCCAACCAAAUGAAGUCUCAAGAGAUACCUCAGAUAUAAAUAAUCUCAGACUUUGGACAUCUUAAGCAUGUGAAAAAAAAAUGGGAAAACGCAUAAACUCUUCCUCUGAUUUCCACCUGGGAGCUCAUGCAUGUGCCCUGAUUUAGAAUCUGCUGCUCCCUGUUCCAUAACUGACCCGUUUCUGUCAUUCCCUCAGGCUCAAGUCCUUCUGGAGUCACCGAGGCCGGCAGUGUGUGCAGAAGUAGCAGCUGGUUUCAGCCUUUGCAAUUCAGCCCCUCCCAGGAGAGAGGUUCCUCAGUUUUCCAACUCAUCCCGUGGCCUCCUAAACCUCCAAAGGAAUUGGGCCAGACUGAUGCCACCUUUGGAAGAAGACAAAACAAAACAAAACAACAACAACAAAAACAACUAGCAUUUAUUGUAAGGCAGGUGUUAUGCUAAAGACAUUCACAAUCAUGACCUCAUUUAUUCUUCUCAGGUAGUCUGUUCUUAUUCCUGUUUCACAGAUGGACAAAGGACGGUUCAGGCACCUACAACUUACCUUGGACCUGCAGUUACUUUUAUGUCUGUGUUUGUGCAAGGACCUGUCAUUCCAGAUGUCCCAGUGAUCAGUGUGGAUUGCCGCAGGAACAACGUGGUGGUGGCAACUGGGCAUAGACCAUGAAAACUGCUGAAAAGUAAUGAGGAGCUCAUUAAGGGUGUUCAUCUCCUGGCACUGAAAAGCAUGCAUAGAAUGUAGUCCCUGCCACAAGACACUGAAAGGUGGGCAUGGACGGAGAGCGAGGACGAGGGGAUGUUAGUUCUGGUCCAGAUGU